UAAUUAUUUUUGAAAUUAAUCUUUAGGUAA
rnacentral:piRNA from 1 species